GUUUUCAGGGCUGACCAUUUGGUUUUGGAUAAACAACUGGUGUGCUCAUCCCUGGGGAGGACUAUUUCAGUCUCAGCAUUCCUUAAUGGCCUGCAGUUCUUUGUCUAGGCUUCCAGCAGAAGGUGUGGCCCAGAUGAAAGGUGUGUCUUCCCACAUCGUGAUCUGGAUUGAAGAUGUGUGUUUUCCUGCCUCAAGGUCUGGAUUAAAGUUAUGUGUCAUCCUGCCUCAAAAUCCAGAUCAAAAGCCUAUAUCUUGCUGGGCAGUGGUUAAUCCCUUUAAUCCCAGCACUUGGGAGGCAGAGCCAGGCGGAUCUCUGUGAGUUUGAGGCCAGCCUGGUCUACAGAGCAAGAUCCGGUCCAGGACAGGCACCAAAACUACACAGAGAAAUCCUGUCUCAAAAAAAAAAAAAGCCUAUAUCUUCCAGCCUCAAGGUCCAGAUCAAAGGCAUGGUGUCCUCUUGCCCCAAGAUCCGGAUCACAAGUGUGCCUUCUAUUUCUGGAUUGUUAUUCAUUCCAGAUAUAGUCAAGUUGACAACCAAGAAUAGCCAUCACAAGUCUACCCCUUGUCAAUCUGACACAUAAUCAUAUGUUCUUAGGUCAUAAUUAAUUUCCAAAUGAAAACAAUAAUCAGGUCAUAAUAACACCUAAACAUCUCUCAUACAACCGCAAACACAUUAUAAAUUUAGAAUAGGUGGCAAUGUCCCUUGGGAGACAUCCUUUUAGUAUCUCAAAUAUGAUAUCCAUUGAUAUUCUUUUCAUUGAUGUUAAAGAAAUUGAAAGAAAACACAAAUAUCUGUUCUUGAAUUUUGGUUGGACUUAUCCUCUGAUACAAGUAUGUGUCACCAAUGAGUUCAAAGUGGUUGCUGUCUCCUGCUCACUUGGGGCACCUGUGUGAUAUUUUGUGGAAGAGACUAAGUUAUGACACAGGACAGGAGAGUUAAUAUAUCCUUGAGGCAAAACUGUGAAGGUAUUCUGCUGGCCUUGCCAACUGAAGGCAAAUUGGAACUAGGAGUAGGGUAUUGCUGUGACAGACCUGACUAUGUUUUGGGGAGGACUGUGGAAGGACUUUGGAACUUAGAGCUAAAAGGACCAUUGAAUGUUAAGAUCUCUGUGGAUGGUUGGAAUUUUGUUUUGAUUUGAUUUGGUUGUGACUGCCCUGAUUUUCCCCUUUUGAAGUAAGAAUGUAUUUUACUGGAGCCCACAGUUGAGAAACUUUGAAUUUUAAAAGACUUUGGAUUUUAAAAGAGAUUGGCUAUUUUAAAGAGACUGAAACUUUAAUGUGUUUGAAUUUGUAAAGACUGUGGUGAAUUUUUUUAAGAUUUAUUUAUUUUUAUUUCAUGUACACUGGUAUUUUGCCUGCAUGUAUGUCUGUGCCAGGGAUUCAGAUCCUCUGAAACUGGAGUUACAGAAGGUUGUGAGCUACCACAUGGCUGCUGGGAAUUGAACCCAGGUCCUCUGGAAGAGCAGCCAGUGCUCUUAACUACUGAGUCAUCUGUCCAGUUCAAGACUGUGGACUUUUUAAAGUUAUUUAUGUUUUUGAUGUGAGAUCUUGAAGAUGAAUAAGAAAGAAAGGGUUGCGGCUUAGUAGUGACAAGGUGUCAGUUGUUACUGGUAGGUGGAGCCAUCCCUGGGCUGGUGACCCCGUAUUCUAUAAGAAAUCAGGCUGAGCAAGCCAGUAAGCAUCACCCCUCCAUGGCCUCUGCAUCAGCUCCUACCUCUGGGAUCCUGCCCUGUUUAAGUUCCUGUCCUGCUUACUUCAGUGAUGAACAGCAAUGCUGAAGUGUAAGCCAAAUAAACCCUUUCCUCCCCAACUUGCUUUUUGGUCAUGGGGUUUUGUCACAGCAGUAGAAACCCUAACUAAGACACUUGCUUAUGACAGGGUCUCAUAAUACUCUUGAACUUACUAUUAACCCAAAUUGAUCUUGAACUCCUUGGGUUGUAGAAAAUAGUGGUCUAUCUGUACAUUCCAAAAAGAUGUACCCAAUAGUCACGAGGGUGUUAGGGCACAUGCAGCAGGAGGAAUGGAUGGCUAUUUAGGGGCUAAGGUAGCCCAAGAUACCUUGGGCCCUGACCUAUAACAUUUCAGCACCCCAUAGUCCUUGAAGUUUUUGCCAGUCAGACUUGUAGAAUGUUUAAUGUAGGUAAGGGAACAGGAUCCUUAGUUCACCCACACCUCCCCAAAAAAGGUCACCUGAUGCUGUUACAGGGAUUUGCAAUACAAGGAAAAGCUGGCUGUGAUAGACAUUGAAAAUUUUUCAGGUGCCUGAGGCAACACAAUGGACUUCUCCCCACCAUGAUCUGGUUGACACAUCUUUUGCAGACAAGGAAAGAGAUUAAUAGAAGUUGGAAAUAAUAGCAGACAUGCAUGGAACAUUAGCCAUAUGCCCCACAAUGAGAACUCAAUUGGUCACAUCCUUACUUUUUGGGCUUCAGAUGUUUGUUUGUUCGUUUGCUUGGUUAUUUUAAAGGUUUGUUUUUAUCUUAUACAUAUAAAUCUUUGCCCACGUGUAUGUAUACCACGUGCAUGUCUGAUUUCCAAGGAGGCCAGAAGAGGGCAUCAGGUACCCCGGAACUGGAAUUAUAGGUGGCUGUAAGUCACCAAAUGGGUGCUAGAUUCUCUGCAAGAGCAGCAAGUUCUCCUGACUUCUGAGCCACUCUCCAGAGCCUGCCUUUUCAUUGCUAAGAAUUUCACCUGGGACUUCACACAUCCCAGGCAAGCACUCUACUACUGAGCUAUUCCCAGCUCUCGGCUUUAACUGUUUUCAGACAAACACACUGGCUAUCACAGAGCUGUGAUUCCCUAUCAUGGAAGCUGUUAUUUAUUUGCGACACUGUUUACCAGGCAACAGAGAACACGAGGUACAAUGGAACCCACUGUAAGAGUUUUAUUAGGGAGGGGAAAGUAUAAGAACAUGAAUAGGCCUACCGGAAAUAGAUAGUUCAGGGGAGAGAGAGCAGGUAUUGGGUGGAAUCUUUUAUAGGUCACCUUGCGCAUGCGCAUAUGGGCUCACAUAGCUGUGCCAUGCAUGCACAUAGAUUACAUGAUCACACUGUGCGCAGAAUAUGUGACCACACAGCACACGGAUUAUGUAGUACAUAAGGCCCUAGGGUGACUAAGCAUUUAGCCUGACUGCUGGAUAGCGCAUAUGCAGUCAUGUAGCUAGGAAGUGGCUACAAUUAUAAUAUUCCACCCUUUUUGUUAUUAUAAAAACAAGGGGUUAGGAGUGGCAGGUGAACGGGAAUGGGGGCACCGUGUCUCCCGGAACUGCUUCCAGCUGACUUGGUGGGCAUUGGUUAAUUUUGGGGGAUAGGGUCUAGGAAAUCUAGACACAGGUGAUUGGCUGCUGAGGGCAUUUAACAGUAAUACAUUGUUAUAUUAAAGUCUGUUUUUUUUGCAAAGUCCAGACCCUUUUGAGUCUGAGGGUGUGAAUACCUCCACAGUGUUACUAUUUUUUACCACCUGGGUAGAUUUGAUGAUCCUUGCACCUCUGAUUCUAUGGCUAAUAGUAGUCCUGUAACAGCUGAAUAGUUAAUUAGAAAUUUGAAUAUAUUAUUAGAAACACAGAGGGAAACUGAUGAAGCAGAAUGUGGUCGGUAGAGACAGGAUAAUGUGGAGAAAGAAUCAGGAAGAAAAAACAUGGGGUUCCCAAUCCAGUGGGACUGAGUACGGUUGUGGGAUGAAACCUCAUUCUUCUGGAAUUGGAGACAAAGCAGUUGAUCUUGGCGUCCUCUGGAACUUAAGAGAGCAGAGCCUUGUUUGUAUCACUGUAUAUGAAGAAGAAUUCCCCUGGAUUGGGGGUGGGGUAAAAGGCUUCAGGUGAGACAGAUGAAUCCAAUGGGGAAGGCCCUUGAGCUUAGCAGCUGUGGGGGUUACAAGAAUUACCUUGAAGGGUCCCUGCCAUUUAGGUGAAAGGGUUGAGGGGUGCUGGUCUGGAGGAGAAAAAAAGGACCUGAUCCCCAAUGUGGGCAGGGGUUGUCAUGUGACUGGGGUAAGGAAUGGUCAGCAAAACUCUGUAGGAGAGAGCAGAGGUGAUAGAGUAGGUGGGUGAGCAGGUGGUCAGGGAGGGGUGACGGUUUGGAUAGGAGGCCCAGGGUUAGAGCCAUCUCCCAUACAUGAGUUCAGGAGGUGAGACUGAAAGAGUUGCUUGGGAAAAGACUGGAGCCUAAAAAGAGGUAGAGGCAAUAAUUUCACCCAGUCAAGGUGAAGUUCCUGUGACAUUUUAAGAAUGUUUUUUAAAGAGUAGUUGGUACAUUCCACCUUCCUUGAGGACUGAGGAUGGUAAGGGAUAUAGAAAUGCCAAGUGAUGUUAAGAGCUUUAGAUAGGGUCUAGGAAAUCUGGGAGGUGAACUCUGGGCCAUUAUCAGACUGAAGAGAGGCAGGCAUGCUGUGGGAUGCUUUCUGUAUGCUGUGAACAUAUGUUGCUCUGAUUAGUUAAUAAAUAAAAGUUGCAUUGGCCUAUGGCAAGGCCAAUUAGAGGCAGGCAGGAGACUCAAGAGGGAGAGACAGGAAACAGAAAGGAGAGGUAGAAGAGACGCCAGCCUGCCGCCAGGAGAAGCAAGACGUGAAAGUACCAGUAAGCCGUGGAACACAUGGCAACUUAUAGAUUAAUAGGAAUGGGUAAAUUUAAGUUAUAAGAGCUAGCUAGCAAAAAGCCUACCAUAGACCAUACAGUUUGUAAAUAAUAUAAGCCUCUGUGUUUACUUGGGACUGAGUGGCUGUGGGACUGGGCAGGGCCAGGGAAACCUUCCGACUACACAGGGAUUCCAAAUAAGGGAUGUAGAGGAGGUCAGCAACUAUCUGAGCUCACUUAUUAGAAACCAGAAAUGCCUCCACCCAGCUCACAAAAGAGCCCACAAUCACAAGAAGAUAUUUAAUUCAUCUGAAAGUGGGCAUAUGAAUAAAAUCAAGCUGCCAGUCAGUCCCUGGAAGGGAACCUCUAGGCUGGUAGUGGGAAAAGUUUGGCUCCGAUAUUUGGAAUUAGGAUCUGACUUUUGGCAAAUUUUACAAGAACUGUAAGUCCUUGAGGUGGGCUGUACAUGGGCUGUGACAAACUGAGACAGGGCCUGACUAUUAGGGUGAAAGAGCUGAUGCAGACAGGACAGAAUUUGCCUAGUGUCAGGGGCUGUGAGGGUGUGGGUUGUACUGUAUGGAUUCCCUGUGGUGGGUAGGAUGAGUCUGGGCCCUGGAGGGCCACUGUCCUGGCUGCCUGGUUGGCCCAGUUUGCCUGACUGCUGGACAGUGCAUGCAUGGUCAUGUAGCUAGGAAGUGGCUAUGAAUUAUAGCAGAAGCAUCCAGAACAGGAGAAGCCUCCUGGGGAGGAGGGAAUUAGAGGCUUGGGGAGAGUAGUUCAUGAGGAUCCAGCCUGGGAGAGGCUUGUGACACUCACCUUGAUGGGCUUGAAGGCAGUCCCCAGAAUGGUAGGAUGCAGGAGCAAAGCAUGAGAGCUCCAUGGCACUGUGUGGAAGAGGCCCUGCUUUCCCCAGAGCUCCAUGGCUGCCCUAGAGCUCUUAGUCCAUAAUCUGAGGCAGAACUGACUGAUUCCCCUGAAUGGGAGAUUUGGUGUGAAGAAAAUUUCAUGUGGUUCUCUCCAGAUACUUUGUUUGCCGGAGUUCACAUAGCUCCAUGGAGAAUCACAGUGCAGGCAGCUCCAAGUCAGUGGGAGGCUACCAGGAAUCAGAGCGGGUGAGACAGAGGCUGAUAUUGAGCUGCCUGCUAGACAUCCUCACCACACCAAAAUGCCCUCUAGUUACCUUGUGCUCUGAACUUUACCUUAGACCACAUCCCACUCUUCCUCUAUGUCCCUGCUGUCUCAAGACCUAAAAUCAACUCUAUGAGGCUCCUCAGGGUCUUAGUUUUGCUAUGUGUGGGACCUUAAAAUUUGAGGACACUGAAGAGACUGAGCAUGUAGAGAAGGUAUUUUGUACUCUUUCCUCAUCAAAGAUCAUUAAUAGUAUCCAUUAACUUUUUUUGUUUUGAAUUGGUUGGUUUCAUUGUUUGUUCGUUUGUUUGUUUUGGGGGGCAGGGUUUCUGUGUGUAGCCCUAGCUCUCCUGAUAUUCACUGUGUAGACCAGGCUGUCCUCGAACUCACUGAGAUCCUCUGCCUGCCUCUGCAUCCCGAGUGCUGGGAUUAAAUGCGUGCGCCACCACUGCCCAGCUCCAUCCAAGUAUAUUAAACUAAGGUUAUAGAUGUGUCUUAGUUAGGGUUCUAUUGCUGUGAAGAGACACCACAACUGUGGUAACUAUUAUAAAGGAAAAUAUUUAAUUGGGUAGCAGGAAGAGACAGUGAGUCACUAGGCCUGGCUUGAGCUUCUGAAACCUCAAAGCCUACCCCCAGUAACAUGCUUCCUCCAAAAAGGCCACACCUCCAAUAAUAAGAGAUAGCUUUGGCCAAAAGAUCUGAUACCCAUUUUGAAAGACUGAUGUAUUAAAAGCCACACCUAGAAAAAAAAAAGCUAAAAAAAAGUCAUCCCUACCAGAUAGAGAAAGAAAGGAUAGUUUUGAUUCCAUUCAAAUAUCUGGACCUGUGAUCUGAAGGAAAGUUGAUUUCAAUAUAUGUAGAAGGGAAGUAGGGUGCAGAUACUCAUGAACUUUCAUCAGGGCUUAAAGAACAUCUCACUGAGCAGUGGUGGUACACACUUUGUUUGUUUGUUUGUUUUUAGUAAAAUCAAAACUUAUUCUAAGUCACAGUCAUCCUAGGGUCCCCCCUGUCAUAUAGCCUCCCUAGUUCUGUGGGUUGAAGUCUGAUUGUUCUUUUUUUUUUUUUUUUUUUUUUUUUUUGGUUUUUUGAGACAGGGUUUCUCUGUGUAGCUUUGCGCCUUUCCUGGUACUCGCUUUGGAGACCAGGCUGGCCUCGAACUCACAGAGAUCCGCCUGCCUCUGCCUCCCAAGUGCUGGGAUUAAAGGCGUGCGCCACCACCGCCCGGCCAUGAUUGUUCUUUGCUUUAUAUCUAGAAUCCACUUAUGAGUGAGUACAUACCAUGUUUGUCCUUCUGGGAUUGGGUUACCUCACUCAGGAUGAUAUUUUCUAGUUCCAUCCAUUUGUCUGCAAAUUUCAUGAUGACAUUGUUUUUCUCUGCUGAGUAGUACUCCAUUGUGUAUAUGUACCACAUUUUCUUAAUCCAUUCUUCGGUUGACGGGCAUCUAGGUUGUUUCAGGUUCUGUCUAUUAUGAAUAAUGCUGCUAUGAACAUAGUUGAGCAUGUAUCUUUGUGAUAGGAUUGAGCAUUCCUUGGGUAUAUGCCCAAGAGUGGUAUGGCUGGAUCUUGAGGUAGAUCGAUUCCCAAUUUUCUGAGAAACCACCAUACUGAUUUCCACAGUGGUUGUACAAGUUUGCAUUCCCACCAACAGUGGAGGAGUGUUCCCUUUGUUCCGCAUCCUUUCCAACAUAGACUGUCAUUAGUGUUUUUGAUCUUAGCCAUUCUGACAGGUGUAAGGUGGUAUCUCAGAGUCAUUUUGAUUUGCAUUUCUCUGAUGAUUAAGGAUGUUGAGCAUUUCUUUAAAUGUCUUGCAGCCAUUUGUGAUUCUUCUUUUGAGAAGUCUCUGUUUAGUUCUUUAGCCCAUUUUUUAAUUGGAUUGUUCAGUAUUUUGAUGUCUAGUUUCUUGAGUUCUUUAUAUACUUUGGAGAUCAUUCCUCUGUCAGAUGUGGGGUUGGUAAAGGUCUUUUCCCAUUCUGUAGGCUGUCUUUUGGUCUUAUUGACCGUGUCUUUUGCCCUACAAAAGCUUCUCAGUUUCAAGAGAUCCCAUUUAUUAGUUGUUGUGCUCAGUGUUUGUGCUGCUGGUGUUAUAUUUAGGAAGUGAUCUUCUGUGCCAAUGCAUUCAAGAGUACUUCCUACUUUCUCUUCUAUUAAGUUUAGUGUAACUGGAUUUAUGUUGAGGUCUUUGAUCCACUUGGACUUGAGUUUUGUGCAUGGUGACAGAUGUGGAUCUAUUUGUAAUCUUUUACAUAUUGACAUCCAGUUAUGCCAGUGGUGGUACACACUUUUAAUCCCAGCAACUCAGGGAGGCAAAGGCAGUCAGAUCUCUAGCCUCAAACAAGGCCAGCCUGGUCUACAGAGGAUAGCCAGGGCUGUUAUACAGAGAAAC